CCAUGCGGGCUCUGCCCUGUCAACACAGAGUCCAACGUGGGGCUAGAACUCACCAACUGUGAGAUCAUGACCUGAGCUGAAGUCAAGAAUAGGAGGCUACCCAACUGAGCCACCCAGGCGCCCCGAUUUUCAUCUCAAUUUAUAGAUAAAAGAACAAAGCCUCAGAGAGGCCAUGUGACUUACCCAGGCCACACAGCCAGCAAGCACCAGAGCUGUGACCAGGCUGUCCCUGGACCAGUGCUUUGACAACUUGGCUGCUAAUUAUGGGAAUCACUGAAGACUUUCAAAGUCCCCGUGUCUAGGCUGUACCCUCACCAGGUUGGAGACCCAUGUCUGUACCACACCGUCUUCUAUCUGGCCAGCAGGAAGCAAUGUGUGGUGACAUGUGCCGCGAAAAAAAACUUUAAAAACCUGGAUGGCAGCCUGGAAUGUCUAAUUUCUGUAAAUAAGAAUUAAUGAAGUUUCAUUACAGUUUUUCCUACAUAGAGGCCCAACGAGCUUACCACUGAGCUUUGCCCAUAAUGUGUCCUCAAUCAGUAUCUCGAUCAUGCAACAAAUACCUACUGAACAUCUGCUGUGUGGGAAGCAUUGACAGGGCCGGGAGGAACACAAAGACGAGUAAGACACAGCUUUGUAGACUAAAAGGACAAGUGAUUCCACAACACUCAGCAAAAAGGAAGAGUGGUUGGUGGGGCUGCAAGUGAAAAUUAAAUGCUGGAGGUUCAGAGAAGGAAUAUGUGCUUCUGGCUGGAGACCUCAAUGAAACCUUAGGGAAAUGCGGGCAUUUGAGCUGAAAUUUGAAUGAGAGAACAGGAAAAAGUAUCCUGAUGAAAUGUAAUCCAGAAUCACAAAGUUUUGAAAGAUGUGAUAACAUUGAGAGAGUAGAGGAUUUUCUUGGAUCCACUGCGAAAGCCACAGUGAGAUUUUCUCAAGUGCUUCUUGCCUCCAUGGCACUUAGAGCUGAAGCCAAACAUUUUCGCCCUUAGUCAUCAACAUUGUGCUGUGUAGUGCCCAGGUCAAUCAAAUCCAGUUACUUAUGAAGUCCUGAGAACCUCAAGGUUUAUGUUACCUGGUAAAACCAGUAAGUCUUUCAUGAAGAUGAGCAAGACACGGUUUAGCCUUGCCUUCAAAGAGAUUUCAGGGAAAUAGGAGGCAUAAGAGAGUAAUUCAGAUGAUUACUGAAAGCCUGUGCCCAAGGUAAAAUGACCCAAUGAAAAUUGAGUGGCUGAGUGAGAGGGAAGAGACUGGAUGGACAGACGUUAGUGAGGAGGCUAACUCAGUGCUCCAUGGGAAGCCUGUUAGGGAACUAAAUGUGAGGUCCACCAGUGAGAAUGGAAAAAAUAGAAGAUGGAAGUUGAAAGUGUAGGGUUCAAAGCGACACUGGAAAUUAGAUGAACAUGAGGAAGGAGGAGUCUAGGAAGAUCCUCAUACUUUGGGUGCUUAAAUAUGAUGGUGCCAUUAUCUCAGCAGUGAGAGCAUGCUGGGAAAUGGACAACUGGUGAUUUUGGAGUGUUUGAGACAUCAGUGUGACCACCUUGUAGGCUACUCUAUUUGGUGGUUGACCCAAAGGAAGAGACUGUGUGAUGUUCACCUUGAUAGCCCCGGCCCCAGUAUAACGCCUGAUGUUGAGAACUUGCUUGGCAGAUGCUCUGCCACGGAACUGCUGCAUUGGACCACUCAGUACAAGGAGGUGCUUUCCUGGUGCCAGGGAGGGGGUGCACCCUCCCAGAGGUGAAAGCGAGGGGGGAAAGUGUGGAGAAAAGAGGCAGAAGACAGCCCUCGCAUGAGGAUAUAGCCACAAGGGAAACUGAGACAGGUCCUUGCAAAGGAGAAGAGAAUUGAGAAAUUGCAGCGUCCCAGAGACAUUGAAAAAAAAGGACUUCCAGAAUAAGGAGGGGGAGACUGAAAACACUAGCCAUUAAGGAAAAGAUAGAGCAAUGUCAUUGCAAAUAAAAAAAAAAAUGCUGUUCUUCAAACGUAACCAUUAAGAGAGGGAAAAGAUGAGGCACAGAGAAGACGUUGGCAGCACACAUGACUGUCACUGGACAUGAUGCAGACUAUUUAAAAAACUACUGCAAAUACAAAAGGAAAAGCAAUACAGGCAAAGACUUGAAAAGGUACUUCAUAAAAAUGCAUUAUCCAAAUGUCCAAAAAUGUAUGAAAGAUUCCAAUUAGUAAUCAUGGGAAAGCAAGUUAAAAACACGCAUCUACUUCUAUGGCAGAAAUUUACAAAAUGGACUAUGCCAAGUUUCAGUGAGGAUUUAGAACUGUGGGAACUUAUAUAUUGCUGGCGGGCGUGUAAACCAGAACAAACAUAUUGGAGAACAUGUUGGCAUUGUUUUCUGAAGUGAUAGAUACAUGAAAUCUAUUACUCAGUAAUUUCAUUCUUAGGCAUAUCCUCAAAAGAAAUGUGGGUGCCACGCAUCAGAAGACAUGUACAAAAAUGUUUAUAGCAGCAGUAUUCAUACUAUUUCCAUCUGAAAACAACCCAGAUGACAUCAGCAGGAAAAUGUAUAAAUAAAUUGUGGUAUAUUGUGUGGAACACUAUAAGAGCAACAAAAAUGAAUCAACUACAUUUGAAAGCAAGAUGGCAGACAAAUCUCACAAAUAUAACAUUGAGUGAAAGAAGCCAGAUCCAAAAAUGCUUGAGGAACUUCAAUAAGAAGACAAUACAGAGAGACUGAAAGGUGCUGAUGAUAGAGAAACACCUCUCCCACGGUCUGCCCUUUCUCUGCCACACCUCUUAUUGAGCAGUCAUGGACAAGUGCUUCACACGGAAUGCCAAAUGUGAGAUGAUGAAAAAGAAGGAAAAGAAACACCAAUUCUCAAUGAACCAAUCAUUGACAAGGGAAACAGUGUUGCUGCAAAAACAUGGUCCCCAAAAUGCUUUAUUCGUGGGAAGCAUCUGGAUUUACCAUCUCACCAAGGCCUUCUCCAAUUUCAGUCUGUGAUAGUCUACCUUCUCUGAAACAGCAGUAAAGGUCAUAGAUUUUUUU